rnacentral:rRNA from 1 species
GAUUCGUCACACUAUCAUUAACUGAAUCCAUAGGUUAAUGAGGCGAACCGGGGGAACUGAAACAUCUAAGUACCCCGAGGAAAAGAAAUCAACCGAGAUUCCCCCAGUAGCGGCGAGCGAACGGGGAGGAGCCCAGAGCCUGAAUCAGCAUGUGUGUUAGUGGAAGCGUCUGGAAAGGUGCGCGAUACAGGGUGACAGCCCCGUACACAAAAGCGCAUGUGCUGUGAGCUCGAUGAGUAGGGCGGGACACGUGGUAUCCUGUCUGAAUAUGGGGGGACCAUCCUCCAAGGCUAAAUACUCCUGACUGACCGAUAGUGAACCAGUACCGUGAGGGAAAGGCGAAAAGAACCCCGGCGAGGGGAGUGAAAAAGAACCUGAAACCGUGUACGUACAAGCAGUGGGAGCACAGGUUUACCUGUGUGACUGCGUACCUUUUGUAUAAUGGGUCAGCGACUUAUAUUCUGUAGCAAGGUUAACCGUAUAGGGGAGCCGUAGGGAAACCGAGUCUUAACCGGGCGUUAAGUUGCAGGGUAUAGACCCGAAACCCGGUGAUCUAGCCAUGGGCAGGUUGAAGGUUGGGUAACACUAACUGGAGGACCGAACCGACUAAUGUUGAAAAAUUAGCGGAUGACCUGUGGCUGGGGGUGAAAGGCCAAUCAAACCGGGAGAUAGCUGGUUCUCCCCGAAAGCUAUUUAGGUAGCGCCUCGUGAAUUCAUCUCCGGGGGUAGAGCACUGUUUCGGCUAGGGGGCCAUCCCGGCUUACCAACCCGAUGCAAACUGCGAAUACCGGAGAAUGUUAUCACGGGAGACACACGGCGGGUGCUAACGUCCGUCGUGAAGAGGGAAACAACCCAGACCGCCAGCUAAGGUCCCAAAGUCAUGGUUAAGUGGGAAACGAUGUGGGAAGGCCCAGACAGCCAGGAUGUUGGCUUAGAAGCAGCCAUCAUUUAAAGAAAGCGUAAUAGCUCACUGGUCGAGUCGGCCUGCGCGGAAGAUGUAACGGGGCUAAACCAUGCACCGAAGCUGCGGCAGCGAACGUAUCACCCAAGACAACUUUACGGAGUUGACGAUUGACGGAGCGAAGCGACGUCAAAGCGUUCAUUAAAGUCGAGUUGGCUUAGGGAUACGUUCGUUGGGUAGGGGAGCGUUCUGUAAGCCUGUGAAGGUGUGUCGUGAGGCAUGCUGGAGGUAUCAGAAGUGCGAAUGCUGACAUAAGUAACGAUAAAGCGGGUGAAAAGCCCGCUCGCCGGAAGACCAAGGGUUCCUGUCCAACGUUAAUCGGGGCAGGGUGAGUCGACCCCUAAGGCGAGGCCGAAAGGCGUAGUCGAUGGGAAACGGGUUAAUAUUCCCGUACUUGGUGUUACUGCGAAGGGGGGACGGAGAAGGCUAUGUUGGCCGGGCGACGGUUGUCCCGGUUUAAGCGUGUAGGUGUGUGUUCCAGGUAAAUCCGGUUCACUUUAACACUGAGGCGUGACGACGAGGCACUACGGUGCUGAAGCAACAAAUGCCCUGCUUCCAGGAAAAGCCUCUAAGCAUCAGGUAACACGAAAUCGUACCCCAAACCGACACAGGUGGUCAGGUAGAGAAUACCAAGGCGCUUGAGAGAACUCGGGUGAAGGAACUAGGCAAAAUGGUGCCGUAACUUCGGGAGAAGGCACGCUGACACGUAGGUGAAGUGAUUUACUCAUGGAGCUGAAGUCAGUCGAAGAUACCAGCUGGCUGCAACUGUUUAUUAAAAACACAGCACUGUGCAAACACGAAAGUGGACGUAUACGGUGUGACGCCUGCCCGGUGCCGGAAGGUUAAUUGAUGGGGUCAGCGUAAGCGAAGCUCCUGAUCGAAGCCCCGGUAAACGGCGGCCGUAACUAUAACGGUCCUAAGGUAGCGAAAUUCCUUGUCGGGUAAGUUCCGACCUGCACGAAUGGCGUAAUGAUGGCCAGGCUGUCUCCACCCGAGACUCAGUGAAAUUGAACUCGCUGUGAAGAUGCAGUGUACCCGCGGCAAGACGGAAAGACCCCGUGAACCUUUACUAUAGCUUGACACUGAACAUUGAGCCUUGAUGUGUAGGAUAGGUGGGAGGCUUUGAAGUGUGGACGCCAGUCUGCAUGGAGCCGACCUUGAAAUACCACCCUUUAAUGUUUGAUGUUCUAACGUGGACCCGUAAUCCGGGUUGCGGACAGUGUCUGGUGGGUAGUUUGACUGGGGCGGUCUCCUCCUAAAGAGUAACGGAGGAGCACGAAGGUUGGCUAAUCCUGGUCGGACAUCAGGAGGUUAGUGCAAUGGCAUAAGCCAGCUUGACUGCGAGCGUGACGGCGCGAGCAGGUGCGAAAGCAGGUCAUAGUGAUCCGGUGGUUCUGAAUGGAAGGGCCAUCGCUCAACGGAUAAAAGGUACUCCGGGGAUAACAGGCUGAUACCGCCCAAGAGUUCAUAUCGACGGCGGUGUUUGGCACCUCGAUGUCGGCUCAUCACAUCCUGGGGCUGAAGUAGGUCCCAAGGGUAUGGCUGUUCGCCAUUUAAAGUGGUACGCGAGCUGGGUUUAGAACGUCGUGAGACAGUUCGGUCCCUAUCUGCCGUGGGCGCUGGAGAACUGAGGGGGGCUGCUCCUAGUACGAGAGGACCGGAGUGGACGCAUCACUGGUGUUCGGGUUGUCAUGCCAAUGGCACUGCCCGGUAGCUAAAUGCGGAAGAGAUAAGUGCUGAAAGCAUCUAAGCACGAAACUUGCCCCGAGAUGAGUUCUCCCUGAGACUUAGAGUCUCCUGAAGGAACGUUGAAGA